GGGGGCGACAGGCCUCGACGGGAGAUAUGAGGUCCAAGCUGCAUGUCGUGGAUUUGCCACCACGUUAAAAGGCAAAAAAAACACAAACGCCAACACUAAUUUGGCACUUGCUGCUUAAUUAAAGCGGCACGCUUCUCCGAAAAUGCCUGUGGUUCGGAAGAGGCGUCGACAAGCAGGCUGCUUCAGAGGGUUCUCCCCGGUUCUCUGAAUAAGCUUUAGAGGGAUAGGAUACAGAAGAGCUUUCUUGCUGGCGCUUCCAGGUCUGAACUUUAAAAGGCAAGAUAAACAUGUAGAUGCUUUGAUGUAGUACUUCCGGACCCGGGUUCGAUUCCCGGCGCCUCCACCA
rnacentral:tmRNA from 1 species